UAGCUCAGCUGGUUAGAGCGCUACACUGAUAAUGUAGAGGUCGGCAGUUCGAGCCUGCC
rnacentral:tRNA from 2 species